UUUUCAUUAAACACAAACAACGAUUUAAGUAUUAGUCAUUUCACACAAUUAAAGUGCUUUGGACAGGAUCCAGCCUCAAACUCAACGGGAAAUACAACAUGGCUGCUACACACUGAAGGUUCAAGGUUUCGUGUUCGGUCUUCUCAGGUCUUCUUCAAUCUGCUGGUCUGGCGUGGAUGCUGCCGGCCCAGUCCACCAGCUUCCCGCGGUACCAGGCGCGCCUGAUUGGCUGAAUAAAGAGCAGGAUUCGGAACCUGCGGAGAAGACCGCAGAAGACCGCGGCCGCCACAAUCACCAGUGGAGACAUCAUGACGAACCCCAGGAUGAUGAGGGCGGAGCAGCUGUUGUCAUCGAGGUAGCGGCAGAUGGCGGACGGAGCGUUGAGGACCUGAGAGGAACAAACGCCAGAGUCGGGAGUUACACUCCCAAAAAGAGAGAAAGGACAAACAGGAACGAUGUGACCCUGAUGUGUGUCAUCUCUCCUCUUAGAACGAACAACACCGUCAGGACAGAGAGUGUCCUCGAACACACCGCUGAGACAGUGGUCUUCAUCAGGACCGUCACAGUAAAGAAGAGCCGGAGUUUGGACACUCACCAGUGCGCACUGAGCCUCGGAGAACACAGCCGGUCGAUCACUGCGCAACGUCCGCGCGAUGCGAGCCUGGACCUG